CCAAACUUGGUCAUUUAGAGGAAGUAAAAGUCGUAACAAGGUUUCCGUAGGUGAACCUGCGGAAGGAUCAUUAUCGAGUUUUUGAAAGCGGAGUUGUAGCUGGUGCCUUUAACGAGGCGCAUUUGUGCACGCUCCGUUUCAAUCCACACUCUACACCUGUGCACUUUCUGUAGGUCUUAAGAAGGCGGGAAAGCGGGCUGUUAACGCGGUCUGCCCAACGUUUUUUUGGGGCCUGCGUUUGUUUACAAAACCUUACAAGUAUCAGAGCGUGUUGUUGCGAUGUAACGCAUCCAAAUACAACUUUCAGCAACGGAUCUCUUGGCUCUCGCAUCGAUGAAGAACGCAGC
rnacentral:misc_RNA from 1 species